rnacentral:rRNA from 1 species
GAUGAACGCUGGCGGCGUGCCUAAUACAUGCAAGUCGAGCGAACAGGCGAGGAGCUUGCUCCUCUGACGUUAGCGGCGGACGGGUGAGUAACACGUGGAUAACCUACCUAUAAGACUGGGAUAACUUCGGGAAACCGGUGCUAAUACCGGAUAAUAUAUUGAACCGCAUGGUUCAAUAGUGAAAGACGGUUUUGCUGUCACUUAUAGAUGGAUCCGCGCCGCAUUAGCUAGUUGGUAAGGUAACGGCUUACCAAGGCAACGAUGAGUGGCCGACCUGAGAGGGUGAUCGCCGACACUGGAACUGAGACACGGUCCAGACUCCUACGGGAGGCAGCAGUAGGGAAUCUUCCGCGAUGGGCGAAAGCCUGACGGAGCAACGCCGCGUGAGUGAUGAAGGUCUGCGGAUCGUAAAACUCUGUUAUUAUGGAAGAACAAAUGUGUAAGUAACUAUGCACGUCUUGACGGUACCUAAUCAGAAAGCCACGGCUAACUACGUG